CUGUCCUCGUACUUCCCGUGAGCUGCCUUGUUUGCUUGUGGAGCCUCGGUUGAAUCCUCAUGAGCUGCUUGAUUGGCAAGAGAGAGCUCCCCCUUUCCUCCAAACAAACCCAUAGAUCCCUGCUCCCUUUGGAUUUGUGCACACACCUCCUCAAGGUCCGGAAGCUUGUCUGACCUUAACAUGUGCUGGAUGAGCUGGGUGUAGGCCGGGUUCAGUGUGAGAAGCAGACCAAAGACCUUGUCUUGCUCGCGCCUCUCAUUCAACUGAUCUGGAUCA
rnacentral:lncRNA from 1 species